AUUGAACGCUGGCGGCAGGCCUAACACAUGCAAGUCGAGCGGAUGAAGGGAGCUUGCUCCUGGAUUCAGCGGCGGACGGGUGAGUAAUGCCUAGGAAUCUGCCUGGUAGUGGGGGAUAACGUCCGGUAACGGGCGCUAAUACCGCAUACGUCCUGAGGGAGAAAGUGGGGGAUCUUCGGACCUCACGCUAUCAGAUGAGCCUAGGUCGGAUUAGCUAGUUGGUGGGGUAAAGGCCUACCAAGGCGACGAUCCGUAACUGGUCUGAGAGGAUGAUCAGUCACACUGGAACUGAGACACGGUCCAGACUCCUACGGGAGGCAGCAGUGGGGAAUAUUGGACAAUGGGCGAAAGCCUGAUCCAGCCAUGCCGCGUGUGUGAAGAAGGUCUUCGGAUUGUAAAGCACUUUAAGUUGGGAGGAAGGGAAGUAAGUUAAUACCUUGCUGUUUUGACGUUACCAACAGAAUAAGCACCGGCUAACUUCGUG
rnacentral:rRNA from 1 species